rnacentral:rRNA from 1 species
GAGUUUGAUCCUGGCUCCAGAUUGAACGCUGGCGGCAUGCCUUACACAUGCAAGUCGAACGGCAGCACGGGAGCUUGCUCCUGGUGGCGAGUGGCGAACGGGUGAGUAAUGCAUCGGAACGUAUCCUGGAGUGGGGGAUAACGUAGCGAAAGUUACGCUAAUACCGCAUAUUCUGUGAGCAGGAAAGCGGGGGACCUUCGGGCCUCGCGCUCUUGGAGCGGCCGAUGUCGGAUUAGCUAGUUGGUGAGGUAAAGGCUCACCAAGGCGACGAUCCGUAGCAGGUCUGAGAGGAUGAUCUGCCACACUGGAACUGAGACACGGUCCAGACUCCUACGGGAGCAGCAGUGGGAUUUGGACAAUGGGGCAACCUGAUCCAGCCAUCGCGCGUGAGUGAAGAAGGCCUUCGGUUGUAAGUA